UACGAAGGGGGCAAGCGUUGUUCGGAAUUACUGGGCGUAAAGGGCGCGUAGGCGGUGCGUUAAGUCAGAUGUGAAAGCCCUGGGCUCAACCCGGGAAUUGCAUUUGAUACUGGCGUGCUCGAAUCCGGGAGAGGUUGGUGGAAUUCCCAGUGUAGAGGUGAAAUUCGUAGAGAUUGGGAAGAACACCGGUGGCGAAGGCGGCCAACUGGACCGGUAUUGACGCUGAGGCGCGAAAGCGUGGGGAGCAAACAGG
rnacentral:rRNA from 1 species